rnacentral:rRNA from 1 species
ACGCAAGUCUGACCCAGCCAUGCCGCGUGCAGGAUGACGGCCCUAUGGGUUGUAAGCUGCUUUUGUACGGGAAGAACCCCUUCGAUCCUUCGGAGGCUGACGGUACUGUACGAAUAAGCAUCGGCUACCUCCGUGCCAGCAGCCGCGGUAAUACGGAGGAUGCAAGCGUUAUUCGGAUCUAUUGGGUUUAAAGGGUGCGCAGGCGGAAUGGUAAGUCAGUGGUGAAAUCUCCCGGCUCAACCGGGAAACAGCCGUUGAUACUGCCGUUCUAGAGUACAGUUGGAGUGGGCGGAAUGUGUCAUGUAGCGGUGAAAUGCUUAGAUAUGACACAGAACAUCGAUCGCGAAGGCAGCUCACCAAGGUGUAACUGACGCUCAUGCACGAAAGCGUG